rnacentral:rRNA from 1 species
AUUGAACGCUGGCGGCAUGCUUUACACAUGCAAGUCGAACGAGUGGCGGACGGGUGAGUAACGCAUCGGAACGUACCGAGUAAUGGGGGAUAACUACUCGCAAGAGCAGCUAAUACCGCAUAUUAUUCGAGCGGCCGAUAUCUGAUUAGCUGGUUGGGGGGGUAAAGGCCCACCAAGGCCACGAUCCGUAGCGGGUCUGAGCGGAUGAUCGGCCACAAUGGGACUGAGACACGGCCCAGACUCCUACGGGAGGCAGCAGUGGGGAAUUUUGGACAAUGGGCGAAAGCCUGAUCCAGCCAUGCCGCGUGUAUGAAGAAGGCCUUCGGGUUGUAAAGGACUUUUGUCAGGGAAGCGGUACCUGCAGAAUAAGCACCGGCUAACUACGUGCCAGCAGCCGCGGUAAUAC